rnacentral:rRNA from 1 species
GACGUAGGGCGCGAGCGUUGUCCGGAUUUAUUGGGCGUAAAGAGCUCGUAGGCGGCUUGUCGCGUCGACUGUGAAAACCCGAGGCUCAACUUCGGGCUUGCAGUCGAUACGGGCAGGCUAGAGUUCGGUAGGGGAGACUGGAAUUCCUGGUGUAGCGGUGAAAUGCGCAGAUAUCAGGAGGAACACCAAUGGCGAAGGCAGCACUCUGGGACGUGACUGACGCUGAGACGCGAAAAGCGUGGGGAGCAAACAGG